rnacentral:tRNA from 1 species
UGUCCAGGGAUGGGAAUCGAACCCACAAUGUUCCGCUUACCGGGCAGAUGCCAUGUCCACUAGGUCCUUAUAGUUUACUAGAC